CGCACCAUCUGCUUUUCUGACCAGGGCACCUCAGAGCAGGAAGGGCUUCUGUUGCUCCCAGAGGAGGCAGGGCCUGUGCUGCUGCCUCAGAUUCAGGUUUGUUUCCGGGAAGAAACCCUGACAGAAGUUCAGAAGAACGGGAGCUGCAUUCUGUUAGGACGUGAAUACAUGAAAUGCUCAUCUCACGACCUCCUAGAAGAAUGAGCUAGGACCCACUUCCCGAGUCCUGCUGGAACCAGAGACCGAGGCUUAUUUCACCCAGCAUAACAUUCUCUCGCUCCAUCCACUUCGUCACAAAUGACAAG